rnacentral:ncRNA from 1 species
UGGGUGAUAUGCACAUAAUGGGUUUCCGUUUCCGUGUAGCAAUGGUUACUGGAACGCCGCCUCGACUGUU